CUGGGCCACCUGGCCGGCCCCUCAUUAUUUCUUAAUAAGAUAAACUAUACUCACAAUGCUGAAUGCCAGAGGAAUUAAGAAUACAAUUGUCGAUACUAAACUUCCAUUGUCACGGACAAAUCUUCUUUACAGAGUUUAUAAAUACAUUUCGAAAAUCUCACUGUCAGUACUUUUUUUUUCCAACUCUUUCAAUAAAGCCUAGAGUUAAAAAAAGAAAAAAAAAAAAGGAUGGCGCCCUCCGGUGGGGGCGCGGCACAAGGAGAGCACGAAGAUGGCGUCUACCGGCCUCGUCCGCAGAGCAGGAGGCCUCCAGAUACUUGCCAGACCAGGUGCCUGCCCCUCAGGCCAAGGCUCCAAGACCAGGAAAUGAGCCUCUUUCAGUCUGGGCGCCUCUCCUGGCCGAUUCUGCACUGGGCCCGGGAGCAGGCUCCUGGAUUUAUGAAGUUGGAGUCGGUGUUCAGAGUCCACAUUUUAUGAUGUCGAGAGUUGGCGUUGUUUCGUCUUUCCCCAUGACCUGUUUUAACGGUGCCCAGUUGCAACUUGUCACAAAGAAGUCUUCCUCCCACAGAGGCCAGGGAUACGAUGAAGUCACACGCAGGGAGCACCCGAGUAAGAAUUGCUCAGAAGCAAAUAUGGUUCUGAAGCCCCCUAGUACAUAGUUGUAUCUUCUAGUUGUAGGUGCUGUGUGGGAUGCCACCUCAGCAUGGCUUCAUGAGCAGUGCCAUGUUUGCAUCCAGGAUCUGAACCGGGAAACCCUGGGCCAUCAAGGUGGAGCGCAUGAACUUAACCGCUUGGGCACAGGGCCAGCCGCCUUGGUUAUCUUUUGAAAGCUUAACUUUCAACUAUGCCAUUCCCUCAAAGCUUUGUUAAGUGACCACCUGGAAAUCUUACCAAUAAAUGAUA
rnacentral:lncRNA from 1 species